CAGCAGCCACGGUAAUGCGAAGGGUGCAAGCGUUAAUCGGAAUUACUGGGCGUAAAGCGCACGUAGGCGGCUUGGUAAGUUAGAGGUGAAAGCCUGGAGCUCAACUCCAGAAUUGCCUUUAAGACUGCCGAGCUAGCAGGUGAGAGAGGUAAGUGGAAUUCCGAGUGUAGAGGUGAAAUUCGUAGAUAUUCGGAAGAACACCAGUGACGAAGGCGGCUUACUGGCUCAUACUGGACGCUGAGGUGCGAAAGCGUGGGGAGCAAACAGGAUUAGAUACCCCGGUAGUCCCUGUCUCUUAUAC
rnacentral:rRNA from 1 species